rnacentral:misc_RNA from 1 species
GGUGGUGCUGUUGUCCUUGCACAGGAUCGUCGGAAACAUCGCCAAGAUAUCUUCGUUCGAGGAAGACUACCGGGCUGACAGGCCCAUGGUGCAGCGCGCCUCUUCCUCGGAUGCACCCUCCGUUCAGGGUGGCCAACAUCGAGAGUCUCGAUUUGGCCUUGGAUACCCCUCCUACCAGAGUGGAUACAACAAGCUAUUCACACAGGGUUCUGCCGACUCGAACUACUCACAACCGUCAUCCGAUCUGUCGCUAGACGAGGAAAAGGAAUCGCUUCGGCGAGAAAAGGAACGUCAGGCCUUAAGCCAGUUGGAUAAAGCGAGGAGCAAACCAGUGGCGUUCGCUGUGCGAACCAACGUAGCAUACGAUGGCGCCAUCGACGACGAUUCGCCGGUGCAGGGCGGAGCAGUUUCGUUCGAGAUCCGGGAGUUCCUGCACAUCAAAGAGAAGUACGACAAUAACUGGUGGAUCGGCCGGCUGGUCAAGGAGGGCUGUGAUGUGGGCUUCAUACCCAGCCCCGCUAAGCUAGACAACAUUCGCAUGCAGAACCAAACCAGACCCUCAAGACUGUAUGGCACAAAGGGCUCGUCGAGCGGGAAUCUUGGUGCGGGCGGACAAGCAGGUGCGGAGCCAUCUCGAGGUAGCACACCCCCCACACCUGAUCCCUACAGUACAACACCGCGCAAGAAAAACAAAGAUUCCAUGGGACCAGGACGACACGGCAAGGCGCAGGCGGCGGCGGCCAACAAGGAGAAGCGCAAGCCGUUCUUCAAGAAACAGGAGACGGCCAGUCCCUACGACGUGGUGCCCUCGAUGCGACCCGUUGUCCUGGUGGGGCCCAGUUUGAAGGGCUACGAGGUGACCGACAUGAUGCAGAAGGCCCUCUUUGACUUCCUCAAGCACCGCUUCGAGGGCCGCAUCAUCAUCACCCGGGUGAUGGCCGACAUCUCGCUGGCCAAGCGCUCCAUCAUGAACAAUCCCUCGAAGCGGGCCAUCAUGGAGCGUUCCUCCAGCCGGAGCGACUGCCUCGGCAAGGUGCAGGAGGAGAUCGAGCGCAUCUUCGAGCUGGCCCGCUCGCUCCAGCUGGUCGUGCUCGAUUGUGAUACAAUCAAUCAUCCGUCACAACUAGCGAAAACUUCAUUAGCGCCAACAAUAGUGUACUUAAAGAUUAGUAGUAGUAAGGUUUUACAGCGUUUGAUCAAAUCACGUGGCAAGUCGCAGGCGAAAAACCUCUCCGUUCAAAUGGUUGCCGCCGAGAAGCUAGCCCAAUGUCCACCGGAUAUGUUCGAUGUAAUCCUAGACGAGAAUCAGCUGGAAGACGCCUGCGAGCACAUUGCCGAGUACUUGGAGACGUACUGGAAGGCCACCCACCCGGACAUUCGAGCCGUGCCGCCCAUCGCCCGCCCCCUGCCGCAGGAGGCCUCGCCCUCCGCAGAUCCCGCGCGUCUGGGACCGACGCCACCAGUUACACCGGGCGUUGUGCGCCUGUAAACUGCCGCCAUCCGCGCCAACCCCUUCUACUCGAUUUCUCACAUUCUUCCGGGUGUUUUCCUAGUUCAGCUCAACUUGACCCAAAUCAGCUCAGUUAUAAUAUAUAUCGAUCAGUACAUGUAUUCCGUUGUUGUCGAACCUUAUGUUUUCACCAUUUCAAGUUGCAAAACCAAAUCAUCUAAUCGUUUAGAUCUGGUUUAGAGGAACCUCUUACCAGCACAGCCGCCGACAACCGACCUCGGUUCGCCACCAGGAGCGUGGCGGAGGAGUGGGCGCAGGCGGC